CCUGUAGCGUAAUGGAUAGCGUGUUGGACUUCAAACCCAAAUGUCGUGGAUUCGAAUACCACCUGAAUGG